rnacentral:rRNA from 1 species
UCGAGCGAGCUUGCCUAGAUGAUUUUAGUGCUUGCACUAAAUGAAACUAGAUACAAGCGAGCGGCGGACGGGUGAGUAACACGUGGGUAACCUGCCCAAGAGACUGGGAUAACACCUGGAAACAGAUGCUAAUACCGGAUAACAACACUAGACGCAUGUCUAGAGUUUGAAAGAUGGUUCUGCUAUCACUCUUGGAUGGACCUGCGGUGCAUUAGCUAGUUGGUAAGGUAACGGCUUACCAAGGCAAUGAUGCAUAGCCGAGUUGAGAGACUGAUCGGCCACAUUGGGACUGAGACACGGCCCAAACUCCUACGGGAGGCAGCAGUAGGGAAUCUUCCACAAUGGACGAAAGUCUGAUGGAGCAACGCCGCGUGAGUGAAGAAGGGUUUCGGCUCGUAAAGCUCUGUUGGUAGUGAAGAAAGAUAGAGGUAGUAACUGGCCUUUAUUUGACGGUAAUUACUUAGAAAGUCACGGCUAACUACGUGCCAGCAGCCGCGGUAAUACGUAGGUGGCAAGCGUUGUCCGGAUUUAUUGGGCGUAAAGCGAGUGCAGGCGGUUCAAUAAGUCUGAUGUGAAAGCCUUCGGCUCAACCGGAGAAUUGCAUCAGAAACUGUUGAACUUGAGUGCAGAAGAGGAGAGUGGAACUCCAUGUGUAGCGGUGGAAUGCGUAGAUAUAUGGAAGAACACCAGUGGCGAAGGCGGCUCUCUGGUCUGCAACUG